rnacentral:rRNA from 1 species
GUCCACGCCGUAAACGAUGAGUACUAGCUGUUGGAAGACAUAAGAGCUUCGAGUAGCGCAGCAAACGCGAUAAGUACUCCGCCUGGGGAAUACGGUCGCAAGACUAAAACUCAAAGGAAUUGACGGGGGCCCGCACAAGCGGUGGAGCAUGUGGUUUAAUUCGAUGCAACGCGAAGAACCUUACCUACCCUUGACAUCCUGCGAACCUAGUAGAGAUAUUAGGGUGCCUUCGGGAGCGCAGAGACAGGUGCUGCAUGGCUGUCGU